GUAACCUGAGUCACAGUUCAACUGUCAUUGAUUUUGAUGGCGAAGGCGCAUAGCCUGAGUCUUUGUUCAAUCGUAGUUGAAUUUGCUGGCGAAGGCACAUAGCCUUGAUUUAAUGGCGAAGGCGCACAACCUGAAUCCCUGCUGACCUAUUGUUGAACUUUAUCGAUUUUGAUGGCGAAGGUGCAUAUCCUGAGCCUCGGUUCAAUCGUAGUUGAAUUUGGUGGCGAAGGAACAAAGCCUUGAUUUAACGGCGAAGGCGCAACCUGAAUCCCAGUUCAACUGUUGUUGAACUUUAUCGAUUUUGAUGGAAAUGGCGCAUAGACUAAGUCCCGGUUCAACUGUAGUUGAAUUUGCUGGCGAAGGCACAUAACCUUGAUUUAAUGGCGAAGGCACAACCUGAGGUUUGGUUCAACCGUGGUUGAAAUUACUGGAGAAGGUGCAUAGCCUUGAUUUGAUGGUGAAGGCGCAUAGCCUGAAUCCCGAUUCAACAGUAGUUGAACUUCAAUAAAUUUGAUGACGAAGGCGCAUAGCCUGAGUCCCAGUUCCACUGUCAUUGAACCUUGUCGAUUUUGAUGGCGAAGGAGCAUACCCUGAGUCUUGGUUCAACAGUAGUUGAAUUUGCUAGCGAAGGCACAUAGCCUUGAUUUUACAGUGAAGGCGCGCAAUCUGAAUCCCAGUUCAAAUGUUGUUGAACUUUAUCCAUUUUGAUGGCAAAUGAGCAUAGCCUGAGUCCCGAUUCAACUGUAGUUGAAUUUGCCGAUGAAGGCACAUAGCCUUGAUUUAAUGGCGAAGGCGCGUAGCUUGAAUCCUAGUUUAACUUUUGUUGAACUUUAUUUGAUUUUGAUGGCAAGGGCGCAUAGCUUGAGUCCCAGUUCAAUUGUCGUUGAACCUUGUCAAUUUGAUGGCGAAGGCGCAUAGCCUGAGUCUUGGUUCAACCGUAAUUGAAUUUGCUGGCGAAGGCACAUAGCCUCUCUUGGAACAGUAGUUGAACUUAUUGGCGGAGGCACAUAGCAUGUCUUGGUUCAACCGUAGUUAAACUUAUUGGCGGAGGCACAUAGCUUGUCUUGGUUCAACCAUAGUUGAACGUACUGGCGACGACACAUAACCUUGAUUUAAUGGCGAAGGCGCGUAGCUUGAGUCCCAGUUUAACCGUGGUUGAACUUUGUUACAUUUGAUGGCGAAAGCGCAUAGCUUGAGUCCCAGUUAAACUGUCGUUGAACCUUGAUGAUUUUGAUGGUGAAGGCGCAUAGCCUGAGUCUUGGUUCAACCGUAGUUGAACUUGUUGGAGAAGGCACAUCAUCUUGAUUUGAUGGUGAAGGUGCGUAGCCUGAAUCUUUUUUUUUGGUGUUUGAGAGCUGAGGCUCGAUUUUGAUUCGAGAUCUUGAGCAGCUUAUGUGCUAUGUUCCCAAUCGGGGUUUUUAGACUGGCUUGAGGUGACUCUUGGUUCGAGAUAUCUUCAUGCUGAUUUCCAGCUGGAUCUCGUAUCAGGGAUGUGAGAGAUUCCUUACAGAGAUCCUCCCUCAAGGGGGGGGGGGGGAGGGAUGCUUCUUCUUCUUGCUUGCACUAUCCGAGAGAGGAGAGAUAGAGGAAUUGGAUCUCGAUUCUAGAUCUUAGAGUUCCCUCUGUCUGAUAUGCCACUUUGGCUUGUUUAAGCUUGGUUGUUCUUUGGCAUUUCUUUCCUUUUGGUCCAGGACAGAACUACGCGAUUUUGCUAUGAAAUCCCCACAGACGGCGCCAGAUUGUUUGCUUAAAAGUUAUCAUAUACUUUAUGAGUGUGAAACAAUACAAACAAAUCAAGAAAAAAUAUAGCAAACCGUAAUAAUCCAUUGGACCAAAUGAAAGAGGCGAAAAUAAAAACUCAGAAUUAGGAGAAGAGAUAUUAAAAGCUUUUAUUGAUAAUAUUGAGUUGGUCUGCCUCUCCAUGGAGAGGUUCAGAGCCUUACAGUGGUGUUUUCCUUUCCCAUAAUAGGGGUUUCAUUGUAUCUUUCAUCUUUCUCGUGAAUAGUGGCGAAGAAGCAGCUCCUCUUUUAAGGUUCUCUCUCUUGGUAUUUAUAGCUGUGAGCUUCAUGGGUUGUCAAUAAGUGGUCGUGAUCAUGUUGUAGAUUUGCCCUAAUGAUGGUGAGUGGGCUGUCGCCUUAUUGGUCGAGUUAGAUAAGGGUUAAACACCAUUGGCUUUAAGUGGUCAUACGACUUAUUAAUCGUGUAUUAACCGAAAGACGGGAUUAGACCCAUUAAUUGUCGUGGCGUCAGAUUUUGACUCAUAUAGUAACCAUGUUAUUUAUUCUUUAUUUCAUAUGUUUACGGAUCCAAUUUAGGAUUUGUGAUAUUCAUGUGAGGUUGGAGAAUAAAAAAAUGACGCAAUAGUAUAAAAGUUAGUCAUCUCGUAAAGUUAGAGAAUGGGGAAGAGAAUGACAUAUAUCAAAGUACAGAGAGAAAGAAAAUAGUAUAACUGUAUAACAUAUUUAGUGGCUUAGGAGUAGGAGGUUAUCAAAAUUAGAUAUUUUGCUAUAAAUAUUAAAAGGUAUCUAUAAAAUAUAGUUUUUUAAAAUUAUAUUUAUUUAAAAUAAAUAAGUUGUUAACCUUUGCUAUAAGAUGUAAAAAUUUCUUGAAUUAAAUUGUUAGAUGAAGAUUUUCCGAAAAGUUUCACUUUUGGUAAGUGUUUACAGGAUAAACUUAAAAAAAGGAGAGGGUAUAUUAGAAAGGACAAAUUAGUCAAGUUAUAUAUAAACAAUAAUAGACAAAAAUAAUUAUUACAAAGAAAAAUAAAAGAAAGAAGGUAAACAUAAUAUUGUAAACCACGAGGGAAGUCAGUAUAAUAAAACAAAACGUGAGGGAGAUUUCUAAAAGUAUCCAACAAUUUUACCCUUGUCAUUUAAUAUUUCGUUAACACUAGGUCUUCGACAAGGUACACAACCAUUUUAUUAAAGAAAAUAAUACUUGAAACAAACAAAGUUUAACAAUUCAAACUUUACUUCGAAGGGGAAAAUUGCAUACAGAUAUGUUAUGAAAUAAUAUAAGAACAAGAACAAUAAUACAAGAACAAGAAC
rnacentral:lncRNA from 1 species